rnacentral:rRNA from 1 species
UAGUUCCCGGACCUUGCACACACCGCCCGUCAAGCCAUUGGAAGCCGGGUGUACCUAAAGUCGGUAACCGCAAGGAGCUGCCUAGGGUAAAAUCAGUGACUGGGGCU